GGGUGAGUAACACGUAGGGAACCUGCCCGCGCACCGGGAAUACGCUCUGGAAACGGAGAACAAAUCCCGAUGUACAGGAAGGAGGCAUCUUCUUUCUGUGAAACAUCCUCUAGGGGAUGGGGCGCGGAUGGACCUGCGGUGCAUUAGUUGGUUGGCGGGGUAAAGGCCCACCAAGACGAUGAUGCAUAGCCGGCCUGAGAGGGCGGACGGCCACAUUGGGACUGAGACACGGCCCAGACUCCUGCGGGAGGCAGCAGUAGGGAAUUUUCGUCAAUGGGCGCAAGCCUGAACGAGCGAUGCCGCGUGAGUGAAGAAGGCCUUCGGGUCGUAAAGCUCUGUUGCGGGGGAAAAAAGGCAGCAUCAGGAAAUGGGUGCUGGCUGAUGGUGCCCCGCCAGAAAGUCACGGCUAACUACGUGCCAGCAGCCGCGGUAAUACGUAGGUGGCGAGCGUUAUCCGGAAUGAUUGGGCGUAAAGGGUGCGCAGGCGGUCCUGCAAGUCUGGAGUGAAACGCAUGAGCUCAACUCAUGCAUGGCUUUGGAAACUGGAGGACUGGAGAGCAGGAGAGGGCGGUGGAACUCCAUGUGUAGCGGUAAAAUGCGUAGAUAUAUGGAAGAACACCAGUGGCGAAGGCGGCCGCCUGGCCUGUUGCUGACGCUGAGGCACGAAAGCGUGGGGAGCAAAUAGGAUUAGAUACCCUAGUAGUCCACGCCGUAAACGAUG
rnacentral:rRNA from 1 species